AGCACAGCGACAUCUUCCACCACCGCUAGCACCACCGAGUUGUGACGGCUCCCGAUGCUCCCGCCUCUAGAUGCGCAUCUCUCGUAGUUGUUUCCCCCACCAGGAUUGCUGCCUUUGUCGGCUAUGGUUUGUGCGGUGGUUUCUGGUGGAAAAAAAGGCAAGGAAAAGAAAUGGUAAAAAGCACUUCUGGAUCUUCCAAACCUCUCUUUUUGGUGACGGUAAUGGGUUUAGUUAUCCCAUGGAGCUUCACUCUUGCACUGAUUGACGGAUAUUCUGUACUGGUUAAGUGCCUUCUUCGUUAGCCUAGAAUACUAGUGAUUGUUGUAGUUGGAGAUUGGGUAUGUCCUGCUUUUCACUCUAAAUCAUGAUUCUACUUGGCAAACAAAAUUAGGACACAGAAAAGUGCAAAAAGUGUACUGUCACAUAAUAUUAUGUGGACCCUGGUACAAGUGUCUAGAACGGUCAUGUGCUUACUGCUUAAGUGUCAAAUUCUUUUAAUUAUCGAGUCAAAGACACGAGGACAAUGCAUAAUUUUUCAUAGUUCUUGAUGUAGUUCUUUCAUUUUUAAGGCAAACUGGGUUACAAGGAGCCAUUAAAUGGGUAUUCUAAGGGUAGUUCUGCAAAUGAUAAAAAUGCUUCUGAUGUGUGUCGAAAUUAGGACCACGGAAAGUGCAUGGGUUGAGUUUAAAAUACCCAUUUUAUUAAAAAUGCUUCCUAUGUGUAUUGAAAUUACGGCUAAGUGCAUUAGUGUCAUAGUUGUAUGGGUGUUUUAAUUGUACUUUUGCUGUAAACUUGACCAAUAAAAAUGCUUGCCGUGUGAUCGGACGUUAAAAGGCAAGUGGCGUUUCUUUGGAAGAAACUAAUUAUAGUAAAUUGAACACUUAUAAAAGGAUCGACAAUUGUGUUGUUGACGAUGUGGGUCCUGUUUUGGAGCUAGAAUUGGCUGCCCGAACAAACUUUUUAGUAAACUAUGAAACUGUGAUAUCGUAGUUUGAAGUUAAAGAGGUGGAUGAUAUUUCUACCUAAAGAACUAAUUGCUAUAAGAAUUUGUUGCCUAGUUUAUAUGUUGAAAUUGUGGUACUCUUAGUAGCAGAGACUUGCUUCUUAUGUUUCUUUUGUUCGAUAAAUUUUUUUAUUUGGCUAUGUAGUAAUGGAUAUAUGUGUUUGAUGGGUUUUUUUUGUAUGUGUAUGAACUGUGUUAUUUAAUACAAGCUCUAGAGUACUUGUUUAACUAUCUAGUGAUGAACUGAUGAAGGAAAAGACGAGUAUGAUUGCUCAUAGAUGUCUUAUGGCGGUUAAUCCAUUAGUUUUUCAGAUUCAUAUAUAUAGAUGGUGAACAUCCUAAUCCACCACUUUGUUACCAUCUAAGGAU